GCGUGGGGAGCGAACAGGAUUAGAUACCCUGGUAGUCCACGCCGUAAACGAUGGAUACUAGCUGUUCGGAGCAAUCUGAGUGGCUAAGCGAAAGUGAUAAGUAUCCCACCUGGGGAGUACGCACGCAAGUGUGAAACUCAAAGGAAUUGACGGGGGCCCGCACAAGCGGAGGAGCAUGUGGUUUAAUUCGAUGAUACGCGAGGAACCUUACCAGGGCUUAAAUGGGAGACGACAGUUUGGGAAACCAGAUUUUCUUCGGACGUCUUUCAAGGUGCUGCAUGGUUGUCGUCAGCUCGUGCCGUGAGGUGUCAGGUUAAGUCCUAUAACGAGCGCAACCCCUAUUGUUAGUUGCCAGCGGGUCAUGCCGGGAACUCUAACAAGACUGCCGGUGCAAACCGUGAGGAAGGUGGGGAUGACGUCAAAUCAUCACGGCCCUUACGUCCUGGGCUACACACGUGCUACAAUGGACGGUACAGAGAGCAGCCACUGCGCAAGCAGGAGCGAAUCUUCAAAGCCGUUCUCAGUUCGGAUCGGAGUCUGCAACUCGACUCCGUGAAGCUGGAUUCGCUAGUAAUCGCAUAUCAGCCAUGAUGCGGUGAAUACGUUCCCGGGCCUUGUACACACCGCCCGUCAAGCCAUGGAAGCUGGGGGUACCUGAAGUCGGUGACCGCAAGGAGCUGCCUAGGGUAAAACUAGUAACUGGGGCUAAGUCGUAACAAGGUAGCCGUAA
rnacentral:rRNA from 1 species